rnacentral:tRNA from 1 species
GUUGUAGUAGUUGAGAUGGUUAGAGCUUAGGUCUCGAAAUCGAAAGGUCGCGGGAUCGAAUCCGGCUAGAGGCU